CAUUUUUAAAAUUUAUCCUUCCAAAAAAAAUGUCAAAUCAGUUGGAUUGGGGUCCCAUGCAUCUGUAUCCUACCCAAAACUGGUAUCGUAUAUUGGACAGAAGAUUGGCUUGAGAAUGAAUGUGAUUUUUACCUAGUCAUGCCUUUCUCUGAGUGUAUGCUUUGUGUGUCUUUCAGUUCUUCAGUGGCCUACUCCGCAGCCAAAACACCUCACCCAGUGUUGACCCCAGUGGCCGCUAACCAAGCCAAGCAGGGGUCUCUAAUAAAUCCCCUUAAGCCAUCUGGGCCUACACCAGCAUCCGGUCAGUUAUCAUCUGGUGACAAAGCUUCAGGGACAGCCAAGAUAGAAACAGCUGUGACUUCGACCCCAUCUGCUUCUGGGCAGUUCAGCAAGCCUUUCUCAUUUUCUCCAUCAGGGACUGGCUUUAAUUUUGGGAUAAUCACACCAACACCGUCUUCUAAUUUCACUGCUGCACAAGGUACAGACUCUGUUCAGUAGCAUUACUCAUGUGUUUUCUCUAAAC
rnacentral:sRNA from 1 species